CUGAGAUUCCUUGUUUUCUUAAAAAUCCAUGCAAAUUUGCAUUCUUCUUUUUAAUGCUUUUGUUUUUCCUUUUCAAAUUAAAAGCUUCCGCUCUCAGCCUUCUGCCUCUGUGGGGGCUCCAGGAAGAUGCACCAUGGCUACAUCCAGUGGCUGUGUAUAUCCUGGGUCCCCACCUUGGACCUCUGGACGCUUUGCCUGGCUUGAGAGACAUGCACUGACAGGGCCAUGAAAUGCUCUGCUCUCUUCUCUUUUCCUUGCUGUCCCCGGGGCUGGAGGAGCACAGGCUUCCCUGGCCACUGGGCUUCUGCCUCGCUGGCCCCCCAUCUCCCUCGAAGGGCUGAGCCCUGUGGGGGCCAGAAACAGGAGCAGGCCUGGCUCAGGCCAGUCUGGUAAUCAGGAUGGGAACCCAAAAGAAGGCGUGAGGAGGCCUGAAGCCUGGGACACUCCGGGCUCCUCAGGCGACCACUGGUCAUGGCCUGAGGCCCGGCCCGGACAGGCGCCGGCCUGCUACUGCCGAUGUGGAAACAGGGGCAGCUGCAGCCCGGGUGGCUCCAGGCUGGGUGCCCCGACCCUGCCCAGAGGGGCCAAGUGGGCCCACCGCCCCCAGGCCUCAGACAGGGGCUGGCCUGCGAUGCCACCCACCUCCCCAGGCCCCCACCCUUCCCCAGCAGCUUCCCGCCAAAAGCAAGGGGCCAGGUAGGGCUGUUGCUCGAGGCCGAGCAGAUGGUCCCGGAGGUCAGAGGUCCAAGGUGGGAGCUCUGGACUGGGGGUCAGGCAUGUGGCUCUGGUCUCAGCUCAGUCCUUAGCCCGCCGAGUGCCGUUGGCCGUCUCGGCCCCACCGCAGGCCUUGGUUUCCUCCUUUGUGCAGCUAUCACAGCAUCCAGGAGCUAAAGUUCUUUGCCUAUUUCUGGCCCAACAGUGAUGUCUGUUGAUCUUUACAUCCCAAGAGCCUCAGCUUUGGGGACGGUGAGCCCUGAGGCUGGGACACUCACUGGUGGGAGUUGGUUUCGGCCUUGAAGAGAGGGGAGCCGGAGAGGCCGAGGGGAAAAGGAAAUCUCGCCAGGUGGGGAACCAGCCCGGAACAAGGCUGGGACACUGGAAGGCCGGGACUGAGUUGGGCAGACAGCUGGCACAGAUGGAAGAGUAGAGGGCGACAGGGUUGAUCCCCCAAGACCCAAAAGUGGGAAAAGGAUUUUAGGAACCUUGUUACCAUGAACCUUAGGACAGGGCCUGGCACCCCCCUCGCAUUCUUCUUUAGAAGAAAGGCAAGUGGUUCUUUGGAGGGUGGGGGCGGAGUCACCCUUCCAUCUGCCAAAGAGCUAGGGGCCAUGAGGUGUGAUGCAGGAGCCUCAGGACAGACCCCCCAAAUUGUCCAUCUGGGAGGCUGCCUGGAAUUCCACCUUUAGGGCCAGACCUUACAGUUCGGCAUUGCCCUCUUCCCGAAUAUGUUUUGUUUUGCUUUUAAGCUGAUAUUGCAAGAAGGGGAGGGGAGAUGACUUUGCUUCUUGUUGAGUUUGCUGACAGUGUUUGACCUCUGGAGAAAGGGUUUCUUUACAGGAAGACUGAGCCCCAAGCCCCCUGGGAACUGACCAGUCCACUGACUAAGUCCAGUCACCCUGUGGCCCAGGAAGCCCUGAGGCCUCCUCAUCCCCCUACCAAGAGUUCCCCCUAAAUCUCAAGGCCUGCCCAUCGCAGACAGCACAGGGACAGUGCAGCAACUGGGCCCAGCCGAAGAGGCACUGGGGAAUCCCAGGGUGCCUGGGCCCAGGCAGAGGGGCCAUCGACCAGCCCACCCCCACCAUGCCAUCAUCUGAGUGCUGAGUUGGCAGCUCAGCAGCUGCUUCUGGCCAUACAGGACCAGUUAUAAAUAAGCCCAAUUUGGCCAAGUCAUCAAGUUCUGUAGCUGCUCUCGCCCAGCUGCAUUACCUCAGUGACCACAGGUUGGGGCUGCCCAGAGCUGGGCCCACCAGAAUACACCUCCUGGGGUCCUCCAGUCCAGGAUGCGAGCAUCCCUAACUCCUCAGACCUGAGCCCACCUGGACACGGGUCUGAGGCGGCAGGGCCCACCCCGCCUGCACUGAGCCAGAGGCUAUUUACAAACCGAAACCGGGAGGAGCCAAGUGGCUGUGGCCAAAGUGGCUCCAGGCCCCCAGCCCCCACUCCUAGUCCAUCCCCAGCAGCCCCAACCCCCCUCUCCCCUUGGCUUCCUCUUUCCUUCCCCACACAGCUCCCCAACCUCCCACUGCCUGGCCAGCUCUCCCUGGAUGACCAGCAAGCACUUCGUCACGAUACCCAACCCCAUAGCCACCUGCCUGUGGUCCCCUUCUCCUCUUCACCCUCACGACCCCGUCAGCCUGGGCUCCAAGGAGCCGCCCCCUCCCAAUGGGGCCCAGCCCACGCGGUCCUGCUCAGAGCCCAUUCCCACAGGCCUUUUCUCAGUUCCCCUUCCUGCUUGGAAAAGUUCCAGCACCAAUGGCUGCUGCAAGGCUGCUGGUCCCUGCCUGAGGGAGGGGAGGGUCUCUGGGCUCCUUUGACCUUCAAGGCGAAUGUGGGGUGGGGGGCGAAGACACCAGGCACUACGGUGGAACUGGGAGCAACUGAAGCCCUUGGGGUCGUGGUUCUGGACAGGAAGCCCUGGUCAUCGCUCUCCUCAAGUUGGGAUUUGGCCCACCCAUCUGGCUGCCGUGGGUCAGAGGCUGUCACGCAGGACAGAGCUGAGCUGGGACAGAUGGACGCUGGGCCCGAGACCUUAGCUUCAACACUGCGUAGGAACUGGUAGGCAGGAUGGCACUGCAGCAGACUCCUGCUCCAAGGAAAGACAGCAGAGUGAUGUAAUAAUAAUCAUUAUUAAUGAUAAGGAAACCCCCUCACGUUGGUACAGAGGCUGAUGGUUUACAUCAGUCAGCUCAUUCUCUUCUCAGAACAGCCUGUUCCAUUAUCUCCAAUAUAAAGAGGAAACUGAGGCUCAGGGGAAGCCACAUAUCUGAGGCUACACAACUAGUAGUGCCUGGACUGAGAUUCUAGAUUUUCUGACACCCAAACCCCUUCUCUCUCCAUCUGACUGCCCCUUGUGCCAUCUCAUUGCUCAGUCCCCCUCCUGGAAGGGUGGAAGUUUCCUAGAGCUGUGACAAGGGCAGGAGCAGGGCUGGCCUGAGGCUUCAGGGGGAAGCAGGCCUUGGAAGGCUCUGUCCACCCUUUUCUUUCCCUCCCACCAAGUCCCCACUGAGGAAGAAGAAGCCUGGCCUGAGCCUUGCUCAGCCACAGCCAGCCAGUGGCGUUGAAAUUCACCUAAUCUCUCUAAGCCUCAGAUUCCUCCUCGGGGAAAUUGUCAUUCCCCAGACAUCUGAGCACUUGCUGGGUGUCAGGCCCUGUGCUGGGAGCAGACUGUCUCUCCUGCUAGGACACUGCUCUGCCCUUGGGGAGUCCACAGUGCAUGGGGAAGGCAGAUGAGUUACAAAAUUUUGAGAGCUCCAAGAGGGAAACUGAGGCUGUGGGACAUUGAGAAGAAGGGAUAAGUGCUGCUUGGAGUGGGGAAGGAGGUGCUGCUUGGAAUAGGACAAGAAGAACAGGAAAGAGUUUACCAACAAAAGCAGGCGGACGGUCUCCCCAUACUGAAUCACACCCCCACGCCUUGGCUUCAGCAGUUCCCACUGCCCGGAGCGCCUUUCCUCCCUCUGGGCCUGGUGAACUCCUACCCAUCCGUCACGACCCAUGGACCCGACAUGAGCAGGUCUGGCCUGGUGGCUCCUCAUCUCCCUGAGCAGACCAGGAGGCUGCAAUCCCCUCACCAGCCCCUCCCAGGCAGGCGUGGGCUCCUGGGCUCUAGCCCCCGCUGUCCCCUGCUCCGAAAAGCACCGUUUCCCUUUUCUGGGUGACCACACACCAUGCACAGGGAAUUUCCAUCGCAGCCUGUGGAGCCUCUGAUUCACUCAGGCCCCUCACGCAGUUAACUCCUUCUGGGCCUCCUGCUCCCGUAUGCUGAUCUGCUCCCACCUCCAACCCGGGACCCCUGGGCAGCUCUGCACCAGCCUGAGGCCCCACAGUCUCCAAGUUGAAGCCAGCC